rnacentral:rRNA from 1 species
UGAGGAAUAUUGGUCAAUGGGCGGGAGCCUGAACCAGCCAAGUCGCGUGAGGGAAGACGGUCCUAUGGAUUGUAAACCUCUUUUGCCGGGGAGCAAGAGGAGCCACGAGUGGCUUAGCGAGAGUACCCGGAGAAAAAGCAUCGGCUAACUCCGUGCCAGCAGCCGCGGUAAUACGGAGGAUGCGAGCGUUAUCCGGAUUUAUUGGGUUUAAAGGGUGCGCAGGCGGAAGCGGUAAGUCAGCGGUAAAAUUGCGGGGCUCAACCUCGCCGAGCCGUUGAAACUGUCCUUCUUGAGUGGGCGAGAAGUGUGCGGAAUGCGUGGUGUAGCGGUGAAAUGCAUAGAUAUCACGCAGAACUCCGAUUGCGAAGGCAGCACACCGGCGCCCGACUGACGCUCAUGCACGAAAGCGUGGGUAUCGAACAGG